CAAAACAUGAUUAAGAUUUAUUCAACACAAAAAAAAUUGCUGUCUCACUUUAUUUUGAGACAAUGACAACAAAUAUAAGAAUACACUUGCCAAAACUUGAUUACAAAGCUAAAGUUAUUAAACACAAAACCAAUUAAAAUUGUGCGCGAACAUGUAGGGUGCGAACAGACUUUGGGUGCGAACAUGUAGGGUGCGAAAGUGAAAGGGGGUGA
rnacentral:lncRNA from 1 species